UACAGAGGUCCCAAGCGUUGUUCGGAUUUACUGGGCGUAAAGGGCGCGUAGGCGGUCAGCACAAGUCAGUUGUGAAAUCUCCGGGCUUAACUCGGAAAGGUCAACUGAUACUGUGCGACUAGAGUGCAGAAGGGGCAACUGGAAUUCUCGGUGUAGCGGUGAAAUGCGUAGAUAUCGUAAGGAAGACCAGUGGCGAAGGCGGGUCUCUGGACAGUUCCUGACGCUGAGGCACGAAGGCCAGGGGAGCAAACGGG
rnacentral:rRNA from 1 species